rnacentral:rRNA from 1 species
CCUACGGGGGGCUGCAGUGGGGAAUAUUGGACAAUGGGCGAAAGCCUGAUCCAGCAAUGCCGCGUGAGUGAUGAAGGCCUUAGGGUUGUAAAGCUCUUUUACCAGGGAUGAUAAUGACAGUACCUGGAGAAUAAGCUCCGGCUAACUCCGUGCCAGCAGCCGCGGUAAUACGGAGGGAGCUAGCGUUGUUCGGAAUUACUGGGCGUAAAGCGCACGUAGGCGGCUACUCAAGUCAGAGGUGAAAGCCCGGGCUCAACCCCGGAACUGCCUUUGAAACUAGGUAGCUAGAAUCUUGGAGAGGUCAGUGGAAUUCCGAGUGUAGAGGUGAAAUUCGUAGAUAUUCGGAAGAACACCAGUGGCGAAGGCGACUGACUGGACAAGUAUUGACGCUGAGGUGCGAAAGCGUGGGGAGCAAACAGGAUUAGAUACCCCGGUAGUCA